AACCCAUGAUGUGGACACUUUCUCAGCAGUUCCUUGUAUCUUUCUCAAGCUUCAUACAUCAAUUCAGUCUCAUCCUAUAGAAACGAUGUGAUAUUAUUUCUCAUCUU